rnacentral:rRNA from 2 species
GCCCUCCGUGGCGCAGCAGUGCAGAAUUUUCCGAAUAUGGGCGCAACCCUGCCGGAGCAAGCCCGCGUGGGGGAGGAAGGUUCUUGGGUUGUAAACCCCUUUUAUCAGGGAAGAACACAAUGACGGUACCGGAGGAAUCAGCAUCGGCUAACUCCGUGCCAGCAGCCGCGGUAAUACGGAGGAUCCAAGCGUUAUCCGGAAUAAUUGGGCGUAAAGCGUCCGCAGGUGGCUGUUCAAGUCUGCCGUCAAAGACCGGGGCUUAACCCUGGAAAGGCGGUGGAAACUGAACAGCUAGAGUGCGGUAGGGGCAGAGGGAAUUCCCGGUGUAGCGGUGAAAUGCGUAGAGAUCGGGAAGAACACCGGUGGGGAAAGCGCUCUGCUGGACGGCAACUGACACUCAGGGACGAAAGCUAGGGGAGCGAAUGGGAUUAGAUACCCCACUAGUCCUACCCGUAAACGAUGGAUACUAGGUGGGCUUGUAUCGACCCGGUCAGUGCCGUAGCUAACGCGUUAAGUUCCCGCCUGGGAGACGCCCACCGU